rnacentral:rRNA from 1 species
CAGCAGCCGCGGUAAUACAGAGGGUGCGAGCGUUAAUCGGAUUUACUGGGCGUAAAGCGUGUGUAGGUUGUUGCUCAAGUCAGUUGUGAAAUCCCUGGGCUCAACCUGGGAACUGCUUCUGAGACUGAACGACUAGAGUACGGUAGAGGGUGGUGGAAUUUCCGGUGUAGCGGUGAAAUGCGUAGAUAUCGGAAGGAACAUCAAUGGCGAAGGCAGCCACCUGGGCCUGUACUGACACUGAGACACGAAAGCGUGGGGAUCAAACAGGAUUAGAUACCCGCGUAGUCCCUGUCUCUUAUAC